AUUGAACGCUGGCGGCAGGCUUAACACAUGCAAGUCGAACGGUAACAUAGAGAAGCUUGCUUCUUUGAUGACGAGUGGCGGACGGGUGAGUAAUGCUUGGGAAUCUGGCUUAUGGAGGGGGAUAACUACGGGAAACUGUAGCUAAUACCGCGUAAUAUCGAAAGAUUAAAGUGUGGGACCUUCGGGCCACAUGCCAUAGGAUGAGCCCAAGUGGGAUUAGGUAGUUGGUGAGGUAAAGGCUCACCAAGCCGACGAUCUCUAGCUGGUCUGAGAGGAUGACCAGCCACACUGGGACUGAGACACGGCCCAGACUCCUACGGGAGGCAGCAGUGGGGAAUAUUGCGCAAUGGGGGCAACCCUGACGCAGCCAUGCCGCGUGAAUGAAGAAGGCCUUCGGGUUGUAAAGUUCUUUCGGUAGCGAGGAAGGUGGUUAGUUUAAUAGGCUAGCCAAUUGACGUUAACUACAGAAGAAGCACCGGCUAACUCCGUG
rnacentral:rRNA from 1 species